rnacentral:tRNA from 1 species
GAGACACUAGUAUAAACCUCUAUUACCCUGUCUUGUCAGGACGGAGAUGCGGGUUAAACUCCUGCGUGUCUUA